UACGAAGGGGGCUAGCGUUGCUCGGAAUGACUGGGCGUAAAGGGCGCGUAGGCGGUUCGUACAGUCAGACGUGAAAUUCCCGGGCUCAACCUGGGGACUGCGUUUGAUACGUGCGGGCUUGAGUUCGGAAGAGGGUCGUGGAAUUCCCAGUGUAGAGGUGAAAUUCGUAGAUAUUGGGAAGAACACCGGUGGCGAAGGCGGCGACCUGGUCCGAUAC
rnacentral:rRNA from 1 species